AACUAUUUCCUUCAGGAAAAUUUAGUACAAAAUGAAAACCAAUAUUUGAAUGAAGGAUCACUGUUGAGUCAGUUCUGCCUCCAGAUAGUUUUGUGACUUUGAGGAAGCGAUUUAAUCUCACUAAGCCUUAUUUUCCUCAUUUGUAAAAUAAUAGUACUUCUCUCAAAGUUACAUAAUGUUUACAAAACACUUUUGUUGGUGCCUGGCUCACAGUAAAUGCAUAAAAUUGUAGGCUGCUAAUAUUGUUUACAAAUAAUUAAUCAUAUGGGUUGAGCUUUCUGAACCAAACAAUUGUUUGUCUAGUGCCUAAAGAAAGAUAUUAAAAUCUAAUUUCUGAGGAAAGAUACUGCAGGUAAGCUUAAAAAAUUAUUAUUUUGUUUUCUUUUCCUAUGAUCAGUUUCAUUAGAAAAUACACUAGGCCAUUACUAUCUAUUUUCACUUAAUUUUCUUUAAAUCUGCUUCUUGUCAACAGGCAUUUGGAGCCUGGUGACAUUUGUCUGGCUCUGUGUUGGAUACAUAACUUCCCCUGCCCUUUCUGAGUGGUGUAUCAACGAGGCUGCUUAGACUGUCUUUGCACCCAAAGGUUGCAGUAAGCCUGGAUGUCACAUAAAACAGUAUGUGGUAUCUCUAGACUUCUUUAUGUAAGAUAUCUGUUUCACAGAUCAAAAAAAACCUUGGUCUGAGGACAGAGGGAACUUCAAAUGCCCAGCUGUAGCCAUGUAACAACUGGACAUUCCUGGACAUUUCUCUGGUCUUCCAAGGAACAAAGGAAGAGUUUACUUAUUUUUAAGAAGAAAAAAUUUCAGUCUACCUUGUAAUUAUCAUGAGGCUGGCACCUUUGGACAAUUAAAAAAUCCAGUGCACAUUAUGGAAUAUCCAUGAUCUCAAUUUCUCUAUAUCUUGUACAUUUUCUAUUUCAUCAACUUAGGAAUUAUUUUGUUAUUACUCAUCAAGUAUUUCCAAUAAUACUAAAAAAGACUAUAGCCCUAAAAAAAUAGAAUAAUGAUGGAACAGCCUAGAAGGAUGCUGCAAUUGUGAAAUAAAUCAUCAUCCUGUCAUCAUUCAGUUGUCUUAUUGUGCCGACUAAAGUAUUACAUCAUCAUUCAAGAAGGUAUAAAAGAAGCCUGGAGACAUUUCUGUGGUCUACUUUUAAUUUCAUUGAACACAAUUUAGAAUUUAGAAUUUUUAUUUUCCAUCCAUAACUGUAAAGAAAAGAAAAUUGAUAGAGGAAGAUAUUUCAGUUAUUAGAUGAAUCAGAAGACGAAUUCAAAAAGAUAGAUAGCAGUACACUAUACUUUGAUGAUUAGGGUGAAAUCAAAAUUGAUUGUUCAAUUGAAAUGUCAGACUCUGACUCUUCAGAUGACAAUGAAUUUCCUCAAAUUCAAGAAUUAAUAAAUGAACAAUACAUUGCAGAGGACAAAAAGGAAAUAUGGUGGUCUCAUCCAGUUAGUCCUUCAAGUAAAAGAACUUUAUGAUGCAAUAUUUUGUGAGAAGAACUUGAACCAUCUCAAGUUUUAAAAGAGCACAUUAAAUUACUCUUACUUCUUUUAUAAAAACUUAACGAUUUCUAACUGUGCAAAAACGUAUGAUUUCUAACUGUGCAAAUGCUGAAGAAAAGUGAAGGCAGGUGUCAGAAGGAAGCUGAUAAUGCAUAAAUGAAAAAAAUCAUUGGAUUUAUCAGUCUAAGUAAUGUCUAUAGAUCUAAAAAUAAAGAUGUUUUACAAUUAUGGUAAGAGAGUACAUUGUCUGUUUAACAAAAUUAUGAGCCAUCAAAGAUUUCAAAAAUUCAACUGCUGUAUUUUGAUGAUGUAAGUCUAAGAGAACCAGAAAUAAUAAUCUGCCUGAAUCUAUUAAAGAUGUGUUUGAAAUCUGGAAUUGGUAUCUACAAUCUGGAUACAUUGCUAUGUCUUGUAUUAUAGUUGAUGAACAGCUAGUUCCUUUCUGAAGAUGAUGUGUCCAAUUUGGAGUAUAUAUGCCUUCAAAACUAAGGAAUUGAUGAAAUAAACAUUUAGCUUUGCUGUA